UUGACCUCGGAUCAGGUGGGAAUACCCGCUGAACUUAAGCAUAU
rnacentral:rRNA from 1 species